rnacentral:rRNA from 1 species
AGUAGUUUGAUCCUGGCUCGAGGACGAACGCUGGCGGCGUGCUUAACACAUGCAAGUCGAACGGGCACUUCGGUGCUAGUGGCGAACGGGUGAGUAAAGCGCAGGUAAUCUGCCGCAAAGUCGGGGACAACGUCCCGAAAGGGACGCUAAUACCGGAUGUUGUGCGGAGUUCGCAUGGAUUCUGUACUAAAGAUUUAUCGCUUUGCGAGGAGCCUGCGUCCGAUUAGGUAGUUGGUGUGAUAAAAGCGCACCAAGCCGACGAUCGGUAGCCGGUCUGAGAGGAUGAACGGCCACAAUGGAACUGAGACACGGUCCAUACUCC